GAUGAACGCUGGCGGCGUGCCUAAUACAUGCAAGUCGAGCGAACGGACGAGAAGCUUGCUUCUCUGAUGUUAGCGGCGGACGGGUGAGUAACACGUGGAUAACCUACCUAUAAGACUGGGAUAACUUCGGGAAACCGUAGCUAAUACCGGAUAAUAUUUUGAACCGCAUGGUUCAAAAGUGAAAGACGGUCUUGCUGUCACUUAUAGAUGGAUCCGCGCUGCAUUAGCUAGUUGGUAGGGUAACGGCUUACCAAGGCAACGAUGCAUAGCCGACCUGAGAGGGUGAUCGGCCACACUGGAACUGAGACACGGUCCAGACUCCUACGGGAGGCAGCAGUAGGGAAUCUUCCGCAAUGGGCGAAAGCCUGACGGAGCAACGCCGCGUGAGUGAUGAAGGUCUUCGGAUCGUAAAGCUCUGUUAUUAGGGAAGAACAUAUGUGUAAGUAACUGUGCACAUCUUGACGGUACCUAAUCAGAAAGCCCCGGCUAACUACGUG
rnacentral:rRNA from 1 species